GCCACUGCCACACAGCAACUGCCAUGCAGAAAAAGGAGUUGAGAAGGGAGUAGCAUCUGAUAUGUAGUCAGCAUGAAUCAGCCUUAGGUUCCCUGGCUCCAUACCCUAUUCUUCCACCUCAUUAUGAUUCCACUAUGAGGCAUCUAGAGUAGUCAAACUUAUAAAGACAGAAAGUAGAGCUGUGGCUGCCAGACCACACGGAAGGAGAGAAAACGCCUGAACAGCUCCAACUGUGGCAGCCAUACAAGCCCAGAUGCCAGACAGUGAAUGAAGAUGGGCAUCCCAUUCCCAGCAGAAAUGAUGUGAAGAACCAAAAAAAAAUCCACAGACAGCCCUAGAUAUACACCUCCAGGUGACCAACCCAGACACCACCAACAGUUAGCACUAUUCCAGUUGAAUACUCCCCAACAAAAAUCUAUCCUUGCUAUGUGUUGCCUGAAUUCAUGACCAACAAAGCUAUGAACAUAAUAAAAUGAUUGUUAUUUUA